AGGACGGACGCUGGCGGCGUGCUUAACACAUGCAAGUCGAGCGGAAAGGCCCUUCGGGGUACUCGAGCGGCGAACGGGUGAGUAACACGUGAGCAACCUGCCCUUAGCUCUGGGAUAGCUCCGGGAAACCGGAAUUAAUACCGGAUACGACCUAGGCCGACAUCGGCCGUGGUGGAAAGUUUUUCGGCUAGGGAUGGACUCGCGGCCUAUCAGCUAGUUGGUGGGGUAAAGGCCUACCAAGGCGACGACGGGUAG
rnacentral:rRNA from 1 species